UGGUGGGUAGUUUGACUGGGGCGGUCUCCUCCUAAAGAGUAACGGAGGAGCACGAAGGUUGGCUAAUCCUGGUCGGACAUCAGGAGGUUAGUGCAAUGGCAUAAGCCAGCUUGACUGCGAGCGUGACGGCGCGAGCAGGUGCGAAAGCAGGUCAUAGUGAUCCGGUGGUUCUGAAUGGAAGGGCCAUCGCUCAACGGAUAAAAGGUACUCCGGGGAUAACAGGCUGAUACCGCCCAAGAGUUCAUAUCGACGGCGGUGUUUGGCACCUCGAUGUCGGCUCAUCACAUCCUGGGGCUGAAGUAGGUCCCAAGGGUAUGGCUGUUCGCCAUUUAAAGUGGUACGCGAGCUGGGUUUAGAACGUCGUGAGACAGUUCGGUCCCUAUCUGCCGUGGGCGCUGGAGAACUGAGGGGGGCUGCUCCUAGUACGAGAGGACCGGAGUGGACGCAUCACUGGUGUUCGGGUUGUCAUGCCAAUGGCAUUGCCCGGUAGCUAAAUGCGGAAGAGAUAAGUGCUGAAAGCAUCUAAGCACGAAACUUGCCCCGAGAUGAGUUCUCCCUGACCCUUUAAGGGUCCUGAAGGAACGUUGAAGACGACGACGUUGAUAGGCCGGGUGUGUAAGCGCAGCGAUGCGUUGAGCUAACCGGUACUAAUGAACCGU
rnacentral:rRNA from 1 species